CUCUUGCGCUUUCAAACUGGAAUCUUUUGGUGUCUGGACAUGCGCGUUUUAAACAAUGGAAAGUUCGUCCUGCCAACGUUUCCUGCAAGGAGACAGAAGUACAUUGGUUCGUGUUCUUGUCCCUGCGUUGCCUAUGGAAGGGGAUGUGUUUGCAAGGAUGUGCUUUGUAGGAACCCUGCCCUGAACUUCAGGGCUGUCUUCGGCAGAGCAGCUCCAUUGAUGCUAAUUGGAUUAUGAACGUGACCAUAAAAUGAGCUCACAAAUCCCAUCCCAAAAAGUAGUAAGCCAGAAGCUCCUGGGCAGUUCUCAAAAGUGGAACAUGAAGGAAGAAGAAUGAACAUGUUGGUCUCCAGCAUCUGACUCCAGAGAAAGAAAACACAGGACGUCUUGUUUAUUAUGAAGAGAUACAAUGGCAACAAUUGUUCAUGGGUACAGAUCCUUCAGAUACUGUUUUGAAAACUAACAUUUUGUGUUUUGCUUUUCCUGCUUUUUUUAACUGUUAAAAAACAGGGUAUGUCGAAAUUACAUACACCCCGCCAGUCUUGAUUUUGCUCCUACUAUUUUCAGCGGGGUGAUAAAACUAGUUUGUGGGGUGUCCCAAGAAAAACAAAGAGUCUUAUGGCACCUUAAAGGACUAAAGAUUUAUUAUGGAGUAAGUUUUGUGGGCUUGUGUCCAUUGCUGUUUCAAAAAACUUUUUUUUAAUAUGUAGCUUGGCAUUGGUAAAAUCAAUGGCAACCUUACAGUUUAUUUUGCCUGGCAGGAAAGAAGCUAAGAGCUCAUGUAUCUAAUCUGGAGUAACCGGGUUUGAUGCCCAGCUCUGCCGCCUGAGCUGCGGAGGCUUAUCUGGGGAAUUCAGAUUAGCCUGUACACUCCCACACAC